UUUUAUUUGAGAGUUUGAUCCUGGCUCAGGAUGAACGCUGGCGGCGUGCCUAACACAUGCAAGUUGAGCGAUUUACUUCGGUAAAGAGCGGCGGACGGGUGAGUAACGCGUGGGUAACCUACCCUGUACACACGGAUAACAUACCGAAAGGUAUGCUAAUACGGGAUAAUAUAUUUGAGAGGCAUCUCUUGAAUAUCAAAGGUGAGCCAGUACAGGAUGGACCCGCGUCUGAUUAGCUAGUUGGUAAGGUAACGGCUUACCAAGGCGACGAUCAGUAGC
rnacentral:rRNA from 1 species